rnacentral:rRNA from 1 species
UACGUAGGGUGCGAGCGUUGUCCGGAAUUAUUGGGCGUAAAGGGCUCGUAGGCGGUUUGUCGCGUCGGGAGUGAAAACCCAGGGCUCAACCCUGGGCCUGCAUUCGAUACGGGCAGACUAGAGUUCGGUAGGGGAGACUGGAAUUCCUGGUGUAGCGGUGAAAUGCGCAGAUAUCAGGAGGAACACCGGUGGCGAAGGCGGGUCUCUGGGCCGAAACUGACGCUGAGGAGCGAAAGCGUGGGGAGCAAACAGG